UUUAAAAUAUUGUCGAGUGUCCUCAGCACGACAACGGUAAAAUUUAAUAAUGCUGGACUUAUAUAUAAUUAUAUCAGCAAAUAUUGAGCAUAAAAUAUAUAAAGAAGAACCAAUAGAGACGUCGUCUUUCUCCUCGUAGGAUGUUUAAUGCAGCUGUGUGAAUUCUUAUUUAUUCGCUUUCUUUUAUCCUGUUGUUCGUUUGUCGUUAUAAUGCCACGGGCAUGGGCAUGGCGGAGGGAUUGGUAAUCCUAAAAGACGUCUCAUCAGCGAAGACUUCCCGCCUCGGCCUUGCCCGAUCAGCAUAAUCGGAAUUCGAUUAUUUUCUGCUUUACCUUUCUCGAGAGCUUCCAGACGACGUAUAGCCUCGUCCUUAUCUUGACAAAAUAAAGUUAGAAGAAGAUUUAGCACUACGUAAAAUGAAAUAUAACCUCCAUCAAAUGACCCUCUAUAAAGCGUUCCCCCUCUCUUUUAAAACAAAAAAUACGAAUUUUUGCUUAAAACAUCACUCUGUAUAUUCAAGGUUACGUGACCUCUUAGUGCAAG
rnacentral:lncRNA from 1 species